rnacentral:rRNA from 1 species
UAAGGAAUAUUGGUCAAUGGACGCAAGUCUGAACCAGCCAUGCCGCGUGAAGGAUGAAGGUCCUCUGGAUUGUAAACUUCUUUUAUCUGGGACGAAAACGGGAUUUUUAUCUCAAUUGACGGUACCAGAGGAAUAAGCACCGGCUAACUCCGUGCCAGCAGCCGCGGUAAUACGGAGGGUGCGAGCGUUAUCCGGAUUUACUGGGUUUAAAGGGUGCGUAGGUGGGCUUAUAAGUCAGUGGUGAAAUCUCCGAGCUUAACUUGGAAACUGCCGUUGAUACUAUAGGUCGUGAAUGAUCUGGAGNUAAGCGGAAUAUGUCAUGUAGCAGUGAAAUGCUUAGACAUGACAUAGAACACCAAUUGCGAAGGCAGCUUACUACAUAUAAAUUGACGCUGAGGCACUAAAGCGUGGGG